AGUUCGCGAUGUGCUAGUGAACAAUAUGUAGGUUGAUGGUAUUUAACUCGUAGCUUGCGUUACAAAUGAAGAAAGUUGAUAUGAGUUUCAUACAUGAGUGAACAUUAUAUUAUUCAUAACGUUUUUAAAGCGAGAUUUCAGAUUUUCUUUAAUGAAAAUUGAAAAAAACUUAAAUUUUAAGAGUUGGAAGUAAUAAAAAAUUUUUAUUUGGAUAAUCUAAUAUAUAUAAUGUAAUUUGUUUUAGCAAUAUGUAAAUAUUUAUGAACAAAAAUAACAAGUUGUUAACGUGCUUGAAUAAUAUUUGAUCAUGUAUAAUUAUACAUCAUUUUAUUAGAAGAAAAAAAUUUUUCAAGAUUAUAUCGAAGAGAACGGAUAUCGAUUGUUCUUUCUAUGGAUAGGACACGGAUUUUUGUAUCGAUUAAGAUGCUUGUUUCAGUUUAUGGGCACGUUAAUGGGCACGGUAUUGCAUAACUCAUGGUUUGUGGAUUUGUCAUAUAUAACGAUUAACCUUGGCAGAAUGCCAGAGUUUCUCGUGAGUUCACGCCGGAAUUUGUGGUCUCAUGAAUAACCACCCACGCCUGGGUCUUCGUACUGUGACAUUCGACACGUACUCGACGAUUCACAAAACGAUGAUUCAAAUUCUAUUUAUAAGUAUAUUUUUAACGGAGAAUGUCCGGUGUCGAAAAAUAAAUUGCAAUCAAAAUUAAUAAAAAAUAACAGUGACGCGGUA